GGUGCUGUAGUGUAGUGGUCAUCAUGAAUCGUUGUGGUUUCAAACAACAAUUCCGAUUCGACCUGGGUUCGAUUCCCAGCAGCGCCA